rnacentral:rRNA from 1 species
UACGGGGGGGGCAAGCGUUGUUCGGAAUUACUGGGCGUAAAGGGCUCGUAGGUGGCCAACUAAGUCAGACGUGAAAUCCCUCGGCUUAACCGGGGAACUGCGUCUGAUACUGGAUGGCUUGAGUUCGGGAGAGGGAUGCGGAAUUCCAGGUGUAGCGGUGAAAUGCGUAGAUAUCUGGAGGAACACCGGUGGCGAAGGCAGCCCCCUGGGCUAACACUGACGCUCAGGCACGAAAGCGUGGGGAGCAAACAGG